rnacentral:rRNA from 1 species
UACGUAGGGCGCGAGCGUUGUCCGGAUUUAUUGGGCGUAAAGAGCUCGUAGGCGGUCUGUUACGUCUGCUGUGAAAACCCUGGGCUUAACCCUGGGCUUGCAGUGGAUACGGGCAGACUAGAGGCAGGUAGGGGAGAAUGGAAUUCCCGGUGUAGCGGUGAAAUGCGCAGAUAUCGGGAGGAACACCGGUGGCGAAGGCGGUUCUCUGGGCCUGACCUGACGCUGAGGAGCGAAAGCGUGGGGAGCGAACAGG